GACGAACGCUGGCGGCGUGCUUAAUACAUGCAAGUCAACUUGACUUUAGAUAGCAAUAUCGAAAAGUAGGGUGGCGCACGGGUGCGUAACGCGUAGGUAAUCUGCCCUGAGGUCUGACAUAACCCGUCGAAAGGCGGGCUAACAUCAGAUGAUAUAUAAUCACGACAUCGUGGAAAUAUCAAAUCUUCGGAGCCUUGGGAUGAGCCUGCGUCUGAUUAGGGUAGUUGGCGGAGUAAUAGCCCACCAAGCCUACGAUCAGUAGCUGGUCUGAGAGGAUGAUCAGCCACACUGGAACUGAGACACGGUCCAGACUCCUACGGGAGCAGCAGUAAGGAAUAUUGCUCAAUGGGGGAAACCCUGAAGCAGCAACGCCGCGUGAAGGAUGAAAUACUUUUGUAUGUAAACUUCUGUAAGAUGGGAAAAAUAUUCUCCUCGGGAGAAUUGAUUGCACCAUCAGAGUAAGCCCCGGCUAACUACGUGCCAGCA
rnacentral:rRNA from 1 species